GCCCUGGUGGCACAUCGGUCUGUGCGCGCGCACGAAAACUGCGGUGACCCGGGUUCGAUUCCGGCUCGGGUCA